AUGGGGAUUUUCCCACCCAAAAAUUGGGAUUUUUCCACUCAAAAAUUGGGAUUUUCCCGCUCAAAAAUUGGGAUUUUUCUACCUAAAAAUCAGGAUUUUCCCACCCAAAAAUUGGGAUUUUUCUACCUAAAAAUCAGGAUUUUCCCGCCCCAAAAUCGGAAUUUUCCCCCCCAAAAUUGGGAAUUUUCCCACCCCAAAAUCGGAAUUUUCCCACCCCAAAAUCAGGACUUUCCCCCCCAAAAAUUGGGAUUUUCCCACCCCAAAAUCGGGAUUUUCCCACCCAAAAAUUGGAAUUUUCCCCUCCAAAAAUCGGAAUUUUCCCACCCCAAAAUCGGAAUUUUCUCACCCAAAAAAUCGAAAUUUUCCCCCCAAAAAUUGGGAAUUUUCCCACCUAAAAAUCGGGAUUUUCCCCCCAAAAAAAUCAGGAUUUUCCUGCUCAAAAAUUGGGAUUUUCCCCUCAAAAAAAUGUGAUUUUCCCACCUAAAAAUCGGAAUUUUCCCACCCCAAAAUCGGGAUUUUCCCACCCAAAAAUCAGAAUUUUCCCACCCAAAAUUGGGAAUUUUCCCCCCAAAAAUUGGGAAUUUUCCCACCCAAAAUCGGGAUUUUCUCACCCAAAAUUGGGAAUUUUCCCGCCUAAAAAUCGGAAUUUUCCCACCCCAAAAUCGGGAUUUUCCCACCCCAAAAUCAGGAUUUUCCUGCUCAAAAAUUGGAAUUUUCCCACCCCAAAAUUGGGA
rnacentral:lncRNA from 1 species